rnacentral:rRNA from 1 species
AGUCUAUUCAGAGGAACCUGUCCUGUAAUUGAUAAUCCACGAUGUACCUUACUUAAAUUUGUUUUUCAGUUUAUAUACCGUCGUUAUCAGAAUAUUUUAUUAGAAUAAUAAUUUUCUAAAAUUUUUAUAAAAAUUUAUAUCAGAUCAAGGUGUAGCUUAUGUUUAAGUAGAGAUGGGUUACAAUAAAUUUAUUUAAACGAAUCUAAUUUUGAAAUGUUUAGUGAAGGUGGAUUUGAUAGUAAAAUUUUAAAGAUUGUUAAUUUGAUUUUAGCUCUAGAAUAUGCACACAUCGCCCGUCGCUCUUGCUAUUAAGGUAAGAUAAGUCGUAACAUAGUAGAUGUACCGGAAGGUGUAUCUAGAAUGA